ensembl:lncRNA
GUUCAAUGUUUGCUUGUUUUGUCUCUUGCUGUUUUGUUUGGUGCCAUGAUUUGUAUUUGAUCUGCGCAGAAUUUGUAUUUGUAAUUCGGACUUCUGGGGAUGACCCUAAAGUCCUGCCCUGGAUGAAAGUCCGAGGGUUGCUUGAUUUGAUCUGCGCAGAAUUUGUAAUUUGUAUUUGAUCUGCGCAGAAUUUGUAAUUGAACCAUAGGGUAAGCAGACUUGCGAGAACCUUGGUUCCACCCUGGAUGAAAGUCCAAGGUUUGGUUGUAAUUUUGGUUUGGGGCACCAUUUCUUUGCCGCGGUUUGUCCUGUCUAAUGUUUGUGCUGUCUAAUGUGCUGUCAUUUGUGUUAUGUGUUUCUUAAGCAUCUCUUUCUGUCCCACAUUGCCCAUGCACGUGGCAUGCAUGGGUCAGGGGCUCAGGGGUCUUUUCUUCUCUGAGCACAUGGCGCCACCUCAACUGUGAUCGGCAGAUGCACCCGGAGGACAGACUGCCACUCUGAGGACACCCAGGACCCAAGAGGUACGGACGCGGGCCAAGGACACUUGGACCCGCCUCAGUUAGCCGCUGAGUUCUGCCGCCGUCUUCCCGGCGCCAUUGCCUUAUGAGCAGCGUGGGCGGAUUGGGUUGGCGUCUAUUCUUUCCUGUCUAUUCAGGAUCCACCACAACACCCCCUUUCUAUUCCCACCUGAGGGUCUAUGAGGCAUGCCCAGUAGGGCUGUUUCUGCCCCAGCGGCUGUCUCGGGUGUUUCCCUGCUCUGAGGGAAUAUGGCUACAAGGCCACCAUCUGCUACCCGUCUUUCUGUGCUCCACACACAUGGUAUGCAGGGGGGCCGCAGGAGUCUUUCCCACCCCUGGAUUGGCCAAGGGUCUGGGUUUACCAGCAGCACAAAUGAGAAAAAAAUGUAAGAGACUUAAAUAAUAAAGAGAGAAAGAAAAAAAAAUUGUCUAAGAAUGUCUAAGAAAGUCAGAGAAAUAAAAUAAAAGGUUAAAGAGAGUUAAAACAAAUGGUAAAAAUUAUAGAGGAUUAAAGCAAGUUGUUGGAGGUCAGAGAAAAAGAUUGUUACAGAAAGUUAUAAAGGGUUAAAGUAAGUUGUAAAAGGUCAGAGGAAAAUUAUUAAAGGUCAGAGAAAAGGUUGUUACAAGUAAAAAAAAAAUUGUAAACUGUGCUAUGGUUUCUCAUGUCUACAAACAGUAAAUUUUAAAAAUGGUAAUAUAAGUUAAAAUUUUAACCAUAUUAAGCUAAUUCUGUUUUAAAAAGUCCUGUUUAUUUCUCAAGUAAUUUAUAUAUAUUUGUUUUAAAAUGUUCUGUUUCCUGGUUUAGCCAGCACAUGGCCAACUGGUCACAUGACUUGACUGGUCGCCAUUUUGCUAAAGUUAAAAAAAAAUACUUAAGCCGCCAUCUUGACUAAAGGUGACCCCAUGGAAAUUAGAGGUACCAUCUUAGAAACAAGUUUUUCAAUUAAGAUUUAAAAUGUUAAUGCUUCUAUAUAUUACAGAAAGACCUUAAGGGAAUUUAAAUUUCUUUUUAAAACCAGUUUUCAAAUGUUUGUUUUUAUUAAAGUUUUUAAGUUUAUUUUGGUUGUCAUCUAAGUACAAACUUAAAGGGCUUUUCAUCAGGCCAAAGGCACCUCUGUCCAAUCCAUACCUGGCUCUCUGGACAGAAGAAAAAUGUACAUGCUUAUAGCCCAAAUCUGUAGUUUUUGCUAAAUAUGUUCCUGCUGUUUAAACAGAUAUCCAGAUAUCUGCUUUUUCUACACUGUGGGCUUCAGUAA